AAUGUGUCUGUUGGAGAGUUAUCCCUGCCAGGGGAUCUGUUACUCCCCCCUAGACACCCAGGAGGAUUUGGCGUUGCUUGACAACAGUUUGAGGCAGGAUAAAGAGCUCCAGCAACGAUUUCUUCGGUUUUUGGCAAUUAAAUGUGGGAGGGACCUAAAGACAACCGUGUGGCUAAUGCUUCAGAGUAUCUUCUCUAAUCACCUUUCCAUCAAUACAACCUGGACUGGUGUAGGGGAUAAAGCAUGUUUUAGAGACAUGUUCCUGAAGACCAUUGUUCAAAGAGCCAUCCGGAAGAACCCGGCAACCCAGGAUGCCACUGAUGAGGUGAUCCAGGUUAAUGUUACGUGUUACCUGAAAGGAGCAUCUGAACAUGAAGGUGGAAAA